UACAGAGGUCCCAAGCGUUGUUCGGAUUCACUGGGCGUAAAGGGUGCGUAGGCGGUUGGGUAAGUCUGAUGUGAAAUCUCACAGCUUAACUGUGAAACUGCAUUGGAUACUAUCCGGCUAGAGGAAUGGAGGGGGAGACUGGAAUACUUGGUGUAGCAGUGAAAUGCGUAGAUAUCAAGUGGAACACCAGUGGCGAAGGCGAGUCUCUGGACAUUUCCUGACGCUGAGGCACGAAAGCCAGGGGAGCAAACGGG
rnacentral:rRNA from 1 species